CCCUCCCGCCGCAGCGGCGGCAGCAGCUGGUCUCGGUGUAAACAAGUCGCGGAGGCUGCGAACCCGGGCCGGGGUGGGGGGGACGGCGCCCACCAGGAGCGCCCCCCACUCGCAGGCCAGGCCACCCCGGCGGACUGGACCCCCGCGCGCCCAGGCGAGGCACUGGGCUCCCUCUGCUCCCCGUGGGCCGCUCCCCGCGUGGGGCCACUGCCCCCGGCCCCCGCCAUGGUGCGGAUUUCAAAGCCCAAGACGUUUCAGGCCUACUUGGAUGAUUGUCACCGGAGGUAUAGCUGUGCCCACUGCCGUGCUCACCUGGCCAACCACGACGACCUCAUCUCCAAGUCCUUCCAGGGUAGUCAGGGGCGUGCCUACCUCUUCAACUCUGUGGUGAACGUGGGCUGCGGGCCAGCCGAGGAGCGGGUGCUGCUGACAGGCCUCCAUGCUGUUGCUGACAUCCACUGCGAAAACUGCAAGACCACUUUGGGCUGGAAAUAUGUGGUUUGGCCUCUCUGGACCUCAGUAAAAUAAAGAAGUAGCCUGAUCCAGAGAUCAAAAACUCAAGUGCUUGCAGGGCCAAGCAGAUGCUGUGGAUCUGCAAAAGGGGCAACAUAGAUCUGGAGAGGGGGAACAGGCCUUCGAGAGCAGCCAGAAGUACAAAGAGGGGAAGUACAUCAUUGAACUCAACCACAUGAUCAAAGACAAUGGCUGGGACUGACCCCUGCUCCUGAUGCAUGUGGCUCCAGCCCUGUCUGGCCGCCAGGGGGCGCCACUGGCUUCCCUUCACCCGAACGGAGCUCUGGACCAUCAGGGCCUCUGCAGAGGAAGGAUCCAGCUCCUGUACAUAUAUUUUAUUGCAUGCACUGUGACCUUGGGGGGAGAUCAGAAGGUGGACAAGGUGGACGACACCCCCGCACCUCCCUGCGAUCUGGCUGGCUUGGAUCUCAUUUUUAACCCCUUCCUGCCCCGCCUGCCCUAUAGAUAUGGCCUGUGUGCUUCUCUCUUGGCCCCAGUGCACCAUCUGCCCUGUGAAAUUCUCCUCCCACCGGGCACCUCUUACCCCACACGUGUCUGCUCCCCUUGUUCUGUAGCGUUUGUACAUAAUAAAACCAUGGAGUGGAGACAG